AUUGAACGCUGGCGGCAUGCUUUACACAUGCAAGUCGAACGGUAACAGGCCGCAAGGUGCUGACGAGUGGCGAACGGGUGAGUAAUGCAUCGGAACGUGCCCAGUCGUGGGGGAUAACUACUCGAAAGAGUAGCUAAUACCGCAUACGAUCUAUGGAUGAAAGCGGGGGACCGUAAGGCCUCGCGCGAUUGGAGCGGCCGAUGUCAGAUUAGGUAGUUGGUGGGGUAAAGGCUCACCAAGCCAACGUUCUGUAGCUGGUCUGAGAGGACGACCAGCCACACUGGGACUGAGACACGGCCCAGACUCCUACGGGAGGCAGCAGUGGGGAAUUUUGGACAAUGGGCGCAAGCCUGAUCCAGCAAUGCCGCGUGCAGGAAGAAGGCCUUCGGGUUGUAAACUGCUUUUGUACGGAACGAAACGGCUCUGGUUAAUACCCGGGGCUAAUGACGGUACCGUAAGAAUAAGCACCGGCUAACUACGUG
rnacentral:rRNA from 1 species